AAAAUUUAAUUUUAGUUUUAAAAUUAAAUAUUAUUAUUUAUUAAAUAUAAAUUUUAUUUAAGAGGAAAAAGUAGUAAUUAGAAUUAAUUAUUAAGGAAAUUUAGAAUUAGAAAAUAUAAUAGUAUUAACUUAAUUUGUGCCAGCAGUUGCGGUUAUACAAAUAUUACAAUUUAAUUUUAUUAAUAUUAAUUAAUUUUUUAUAAAUUAAUUUUAUUUAAAAAUUUAUUAAGUGAAAUUUUAAAUUUUUAAAAAAUUAUUUUUUUUAAAAUGAAGUUAAUAAAAUUUAGUAUUAAACUAGGAUUAGAUACCCUAUUAUUUAAAAGAUAUAUAAAAAUAUUGAAUGAUUAUAAGAUAUAUUCUUUAAAAUUAAAAAUUUUGGCGGUAUUUUAGUCUUUUCAGAGGAACCUGUUCUAUAAAUGAUAAUCCACGAUUUAAUUUACUUUUUUUUUUAAUUUAUAUAUCGUCGUAAUUAAAUAUUUUUAUAGAAUUUAAAUAUUUAAGAUUUUUAAUUUGAAUAUAAAUCAGAUCAAGAUUUAGUUUAUAAAAAAGUAGAAAUGGGUUACAUUAAAUAUAUUUUUAGAUUAAUUAUAUUAUUAUAAUUAUAAAAUUGGAUUUGAAAGUAAAUUUAAUUAAUUUAUUAAUUUGAUUUAGCUCUAAAAUAUGUACAUAUUGCCCGUCGCUUUCAUUUAAUGUGAAAUAAGUCGUAACAAAGUAGAUUUACUGGAAAGUGAAUCUAGAUU
rnacentral:ncRNA from 1 species